rnacentral:rRNA from 1 species
GUGCACCAGGCGCGAAACCUCCGCAAUGCGCGAAAGCGUGACGGGGGGACCCCAAGUGUCGCUGGCCUUUUGGUCGGCGGCUUUUCUGGAGUCUAAAAAGCUCCAGGAAUAAGGGCUGGGUAAGUCGGGUGCCAGCCGCCGCGGUAAUACCCGCAGCCCAAGUGGUGGCCGCGUUUAUUGGGCCUAAAGCGUCCGUAGCCGGUUUUGUAAGUUUCUGGGUAAAUCCCACAGCUUAACUGCGGGAAUUCCAGAAAUACUGCAGAGCUAGGGGCCGGGAGACGCAGAAGGUACUCCUGGGGUAGGGGUGAAAUCCUAUAAUCCUAGGGGGACCACCAGUGGCAAAGGCGUUCUGCGAGAACGGGCUCGACGGUGAGGGACGAAAGCCAGGGGCGCAAACGGGAUUAGAUACCCCGGUAGUCC